rnacentral:rRNA from 1 species
CCCAGACUCCUACGGGAGGCAGCAGUGAGGAAUAUUGGUCAAUGGGCGAGAGCCUGAACCAGCCAAGUCGCGUGAGGGAGUACUGCCCUAUGGGUUGUAAACCUCUUUUGCCGGGGAGCAACGGGGUCCUUGCGAGGGCCCGAUGAGAGUACCCGGAGAAAAAGCAUCGGCUAACUCCGUGCCAGCAGCCGCGGUAAUACGGAGGAUGCGAGCGUUAUCCGGAUUUAUUGGGUUUAAAGGGUGCGCAGGCGGCACGGCAAGCCGGCGGUCAAAUCGCGGGGCUCAACCCCGCCCAGCCGUCGGAACUGCCGGGCUAGAGUGGGCGAGAAGUGCGCGGAAUGCGUGGUGUAGCGGUGAAAUGCAUAGAUAUCACGCAGAACUCCGAUUGCGAAGGCAGCGCACCGGCGCCCUACUGACGCUCAGGCACGAAAGCGUGGGUAUCGAACAGGAUUAGAUACCCCCGUAU